CGGACGGGUGAGUAACGCGUGAGAAUCUGCCCUCAGGAGGGGGAUAACGGCUGGAAACGGCCGCUAAUACCCCAUAUGCCGAGAGGUGAAAUGAAUUUCGCCUGAGGAUGAGCUCGCGUCUGAUUAGCUAGUUGGUGAGGUAAGGGCUCACCAAGGCUUCGAUCAGUAGCUGGUCUGAGAGGAUGAUCAGCCACACUGGGACUGAGACACGGCCCAGACUCAUACGGGAGGCAGCAGUGGGGAAUUUUCCGCAAUGGGCGAAAGCCUGACGGAGCAACGCCGCGUGAGGGAUGAAGGCCUCUGGGCUGUAAACCUCUUUUAUCAAGGAAGAAGAUCUGACGGUACUUGAUGAAUAAGCCACGGCUAAUUCCGUGCCAGCAGCCGCGGUAAUACGGGAGUGGCAAGCGUUAUCCGGAAUUAUUGGGCGUAAAGCGUCCGCAGGCGGUUUUGAAAGUCUGUUGUUAAAGCGUGGAGCUUAACUCCAUUUGAGCAAUGGAAACUACAAGACUAGAGUGUGGUAGGGGCAGAGGGAAUUCCCGGUGUAGCGGUGAAAUGCGUAGAUAUCGGGAAGAACACCAGUGGCGAAGGCGCUCUGCUGGGCCAUAACUGACGCUCAUGGACGAAAGCCAGGGGAGCGAAAGGGAUUAGAUACCCCUGUAGUC
rnacentral:rRNA from 1 species